ensembl:lncRNA
AUUGCUUGCCAUUCUUGUUGCACUUGUAAUGUGAAUGGGAAGGAGUUGUCCAAGUCCAGCCACGAUGAGACUGUGGAGGCCUUUCGGGCUGCCAGAGACCCCGUUGUGGUGCAGGUCAUCAGGCGUACCCCCAGCGGCCACCCACAUGGCCUCCCUCAGGAAAUCCAUGUGGUGGACGUGUGCACUCAGACCGACAUCACCUUUGAACACAUCAUGGCUCUGGCAAAGCUCCGACCUACAACCCCCCCAGUGCCUGACGUCUACUACCUUUCAGGUGUUCCAGCUGAAGGAGACCGGACAGAGGAAUAUGAGUAUGAAGAAGUUGAACUUUGCCGACUCAGCAGUCACGAGAAAUUGGGGUUGACUCUUUGCUACAGGACAGAUGAAGAAGAGGACAUGGCCAUUUAUGUCAGUGAGGUCUGUCCAAACAGCAUUGCUGCCAAUGAUGGACGGAUCCGAGAGGGGGAUCGCAUUUUACAGAUUAAUGGCCAAGAUGUCAAAGACAGAGAGGAAGCGAUGGCGGCACUCUUCAACGACGAAAGUAGGAACAUCGUCCUCCUAGUUGCCAGACCUGACAUGCAGGUUAGAAACCCCCACCAAUUUCUGAGGAACAGUCAUGAAGACAAUCGGAACUCUCGCUGCACUGCCAGUUCCACAAGACUGGAGGAAAAGGACGAGGAAGAGGAGGACAACAUAGAAACUGAGAGUGACAGUUAUCGGCAACUACUGGAGCUAAAAUGUCAGAUACGCAACAGCGGCGAGUAUGACCUCUUCUACAGCCGGCGCAGCACCAUCGAGUGCAGUAUGGCAGAGCAGAGCAGCGUACAGCACGAGCUCCGCCUGCUCAAUGAGGAGCUGCGCAGCAUCGAGCUUGAGUGUCAGAACAUCAUGCAGGCUCAUAAGCUUCGGAAGGGCCAGGAGUCUCCAGUAAAGGGCCUUUCCGUGCCUUCCCCCAGAGGUCCACACUGUGAAGAGUCCACAAGGGGCAAGCUGGCUGACAAUAAUGAAAGGCUGGAGAAAUCGGACAAGGACAGCUCCAGUGCCUAUAACACUGCAGAGAGUUCGCGGAGUACUCCUCUGGCGAUGGAUCGCUCCCCCGAGCACUCGCUCCAGAGAAUGGUGAGCCUCACUAACCAGAGAAACCUGUGCAGUGGACUUGCAGGUCCCUCAGUCAUUACUGCAAGUCGUGCUCCAACAGUGGGGAAGAGCAGCAGCCCCGACCACAGCAAUCCUUCAGAGACAGACCAGAUGCCUCAGGCUGAAGACGAAAGCAAAAAGAUUACACAGUGUACCUCUCGGAUUCCUUACUUCUCUCCUUCUCACAGUUCCCAGCAAAGGCAGGUUAACAUCCCGGCUCAUGCCAGCCAUUACCAGAGCUACAUGCAGCUAAUCCAGCAACACUCAGCUGUGGAAUACGCUCAGAGCCAACUCAGCCUCCUUAGCAUUUGUAAAGAGCCUCAGCGACCUAUUAAUGAGCCCAAAAUGGAGUGGAAGGUCAAAAUCAGAAGCGACGGCACUCGUUACAUCACCAAGAGGCCUGUAAGAGACAAGAUCCUGAGGGAGCGAGCCUUAAAGAUUAAAGAAGAACGCAGCGGCGGCAUGACUACGGAUGAUGAUGCCAUGAGUGAAAUGAAGAUGGGGAGGUACUGGAGUAAAGAGGAAAGAAAGCAGCACCUUGUCAGGGCAAAAGAGCAGAGGAGGAGGCGGGAAUUCAUGCAGCGUAGUCGACUGGAAAGCUUGAGGGAAAACCCGCAGAGCAGCAAUGAAGGUCGCAAGGAAGUCAGCAUCAUAGAGCUCAGCCACAAAAAGAUGAUGAAGAAACGCAACAAGAAGAUCUUGGAUAGCUGGAUGACAAUCCAGGAGCUGAUGACUCACGGUGCGAAGGCGCCCGAGGGUGCAAACGUGAACAAUGCCUUCCUUUCAGUCACUACUGUAUAA